UAGGGAAUAUUGGGCAAUGGGCGCAAGCCUGACCCAGCCAUGCCGCGUGGAGGAUGAAGGCGCUCAGCGUCGUAAACUUCUUUUAUCUACGAAGAACAGUGGUUGUGCGCAAUCAUGUGACGGUAGUAGAGGAAUAAGCACCGGCUAACUCCGUGCCAGCAGCCGCGGUAAUACGGAGGGUGCGAGCGUUGUCCGGAUUUAUUGGGUUUAAAGGGUGCGUAGGUGGGUGGUUAAGUCUGGUUUGAAAGCAGGUGGCUCAACCAUCUGAUGUGGCUGGAAACUGGGCAUCUUGAAUGAGUUGGCGGCUGCCGGAACGGGUCAUGUAGCGGUGAAAUGCAUAGAUAUGACCCAGAACACCGAUUGCGAAGGCAGGCAGCUACGACUUGAUUGACACUGAGGCACGAGAGCCGGGGUAGCGAACAG
rnacentral:rRNA from 1 species